GGGUGUUUGUAUGAGGUGUUUGUAGCGGUGUUGCUCUCAGCCUGGCCUCCCUCCCAGGGCUGUUGUGAGUUGUGUUGGGAGGAAGCGCCAUGGAAUGAACAAGGGAGGGAAGAAAGGCUCUGGGCAGUUUCCAUGCCAACCAGGGAUGCCAGGGGAGCUUCUCCAGGUCGGGCUUGGUGCGGCUGGAGCUGCUGAGGCUGCGCAGGGCCUUCUCCUCCCUCUCCUUCCUCCUCCCUCCCGCAUCAGCCUCUGACCACCUGCACCUGCACACCUGGGAGGGAAAAC